rnacentral:rRNA from 1 species
GACGAGCCACCCGAACGUUAUUCGGAAUUACUGGGCUUAAAGGGUGCGUAGGCGGUGUAGCAAGUCGGGAGUGAAAUACCCCAGCUUAACUGAGGAAUUGCUUUCGAUACUGCUGCGCUUGAGUGAGACAGAGGUAAGCGGAACUUAGGGUGGAGCGGUGAAAUGCGUUGAUAUCCUAAGGAACACCGGUGGCGAAGGCGGGUCUCUGGGCCGAUACUGACGCUGAGGAGCGAAAGCGUGGGGAGCGAACAGG